ensembl:lincRNA
CUGGGUUUAGGGCUGGGCCUCUUUAGCCUGGUCAGGGUUACUGCCUUGCUCAGGAUACCUCUAGCUGCCACGGCAUGGUCGAUAUAUCAAGAAAAGCAGAGAGUGGUGCAAGCUUCCCUUGUUUAAAAGACACCUACAAGGCCCAGAAGCUUGGCACAAAGACAGAAGUAAGGGGGAGCUUCUGGAGCCCUGGAGAGAGGAAGGGGGCUUUGUUCAUGAACCUAAGGGGACUGCUGGAUGCUGAAAGACCAUUCAAAAUAUGAACUAGGUUAUUUGUUAUUAGAAACUCCCAAGGGUCUACUACCGCCCCCUAAAAGCCCAAGAAAGAGAGGCAAAGACAGCCAAAGAGAAGCCAGGAGUCCUCUGGCCUCUUCCAUGCCUUUGUAGACCUAAGGGUUGGGUGUCUUUUGCAGAUUUUGUUGGAAAAGGCCAAUGGACUUGGUAUAGGGGUCACCUGGAACUAGUGGGUUUUGGGAAGCCACUCCAGCCAUUGUGACCAGGAGGAGGGAAGCUACCGGCCCAGAGAAAACCGUUGGAGGCUGGCUUCCUACUUCUGCCCAGAACUCCUUCUGUGUUUAGAUUAGAAACAGGAUAUAAUAAACUUGUUAACAUGUCAGAAUCUCGUGUUGGGACAACAUAAGUGGGUGUUUUCUCCUCUUUUCUUUCUGUUGUACAGGAAAACGCUGCAAUUAGUGCUGAGCUCUCAGGCAAAGCUGGGGAAACAUGGGAGAUUGGAGGCCGGGGACAGCCUGCCCUGUAAGAAGCCUGUCUGCCCCAGGGGCAACUGGAUCCAGUGGCAGCCUGGGAUCAGCAGGUGACGGUGACGUUGUAAAUAAUAUGUAUGAACCCGACCCGGACCUGCUGGCCGGCCAGAGUGCUGAGGAGGAGACCGAGGACAGCAUCUUGUCCCCCAUCCCUAUGGGGCCGCCGUCCCCCUUCCCCACCAGCGAGGACUUCACCCCUAAGGAGGGCUCGCCCUAUGAGGCUCCUGUCUACAUUCCUGAAGACAUUCCAAUCCCACCAGACUUUGAGUUGCGGGAAUCCUCCAUCCCAGGAGCUGGUCUGGGGAUCUGGGCCAAGCGGAAGAUGGAAAUUGGGGAGAGGCUUGGCCCCUACGUGGUGGCGCCCCGGGCCGCACUGAAGGAGGCUGACUUUGGAUGGGAGCAGAUGCUGACGGAUACAGAGGUGUCAUCCCAGGAGAGUUGCAUCAAAAAGGUAGGCAACCAUGCCAUCUCUGAUGUCACCCAGCACCCUUUCACGCAGUCCCUGGGGGGACAGCUGUGCUGUCUUGGUUGUUUCUGAGCUACAGAGCAAAGAAGCCGUUCAUGAUCAGAGCUUUAUCUGCACACAGUGUAUGAAUGCCAUCAUGGGAGACGCUUGUUUUCACUGUGUAAGCGGCGGGGCGGGGGUCACCUCACUAAGCCACCCCAGCUCUUGAGAACAGAGGACAACCCUGGGCCCGUGGGAAUGCUGCAGGCCAUGCAGACACAUGGAAACUAAAUAAAGGCAGGUUGUGUUUAUUUAACUAUCUUCACCGAAUACUCACAAGAGAAGAAUAUGGGGCGCGCGCAAUGGGCCA